rnacentral:rRNA from 1 species
AUUGAACGCUGGCGGCAGGCCUAACACAUGCAAGUCGAACGGUAACAGAAAGCAGCUUGCUGCUUUGCUGACGAGUGGCGGACGGGUGAGUAAUGUCUGGGAAACUGCCUGAUGGAGGGGGAUAACUACUGGAAACGGUAGCUAAUACCGCAUAACGUCGCAAGACCAAAGAGGGGGACCUUCGGGCCUCUUGCCAUCGGAUGUGCCCAGAUGGGAUUAGCUAGUAGGUGGGGUAAGGGCUCACCUAGGCGACGAUCCCUAGCUGGUCUGAGAGGAUGACCAGCCACACUGGAACUGAGACACGGUCCAGACUCCUACGGGAGGCAGCAGUGGGGAAUAUUGCACAAUGGGCGCAAGCCUGAUGCAGCCAUGCCGCGUGUGUGAAGAAGGCCUUCGGGUUGUAAAGUACUUUCAGCGGGGAGGAAGGGAGUAAAGUUAAUACCUUUGCUCAUUGACGUUACCCGCAGAAGAAGCACCGGCUAACUCCGUG